rnacentral:rRNA from 1 species
UACGUAGGCAGCGAGCGUUUGUUCGGAAUUACUGGGCGUAAAGAGUGUGUAGGCGGUGUUCCCAGUCUGUUGUGAAAUCUCCCGGCUUAACUGGGAGGGUGCAGCGGAAACUAGAAUGCUAGAGGGUGGGAGAGGUAAGCGGAAUUCCUGGUGUAGCGGUGAAAUGCGUAGAUAUCAGGAGGAACACCAAUGGCGAAAGCAGCUCUCUGGGACGGUACUGACGCUGAGACGCGAAAAGCGUGGGGGAGCGAACAGG